AUAUUGCAUUGGGGUAUAAGUUACCAAACACAAUAUUUCCACUACAUUUUUACAAAAUUAUUAUUGAUACUAUAACAAGGUUAUUUUACUGUAACGUCUAAUAAUUUAUGAAGAAAGUAAAAUAAAAUAUAGUAAUACGUACUUUUGCAUAAAUUUAUGUAUUCCCUCUCUCCAAAAAGGGGAUGUCUGAAAAAUUACCGAGAAGCAAAGCGGCAAGAUUGAAGGCCAAAAUCCAAACAACGCAGCGGUAAAUAAGCUCUCGAAUUAAUAUCCAUUUCAAGUCUGCUGAUAAUCAAAGCGCUUUCAGAAACGUACAGAAGCAGGCGCACUCUCCUUUUUCAAGUUAUAGAUAAAAUCAAAGCGAAUCAUCUGAGCUCACAUUUUCUUGUUCGUUUUAAGCAAAUCCCACAACAAGAAGUUAGUUUUUAUUUUCGAAUCUUAUCCCUUUUUGGCAGAUCCGAGUUGCUUCUGCAAUUUCAGCUUCUGGGUUUAUGCACAAUUCAGGUUCUUGGUGCAAAGUUUGACGUGCAUAUUCCGUGCUAUUUUGCUUAUGGGCAGCCACUGUUACUUUCCUUUUACUGUGUGGAUAGGGUAUGUGGAGAUUAUAUGAUUGGUGUCUAGUGAUUUUUGAGUGAUCUUGAGAUGAGCCGGUCGCCAUCAUUUUCUGUGAAGUCGGAGCCUGUAUCAGAAAUUGAUGAAAAAUCUUUGCAGCAAUGGGUGGCUGCAUUUUGCAUCAUCAGGUUUGAUCUUGAGCAGGGUCAACUUAUUGAAGAGUGUUAUCCUCCUGGCUGUCUUACCCAAGGUGAGGAGCUUGAAGUCUCUUUUAAUUCUUUCCCGGAUUCAGUUUCACAGCAUCAUAAUCGCUCAAGCAUCCAUGAUUGUAUAUUCUUUUUCCGCGCAAAAAGAGAGAAAAACCUUCAAGCUUCGAGUGUAGCAUCAACAGAGAUCGUUGAAGUAGUAGAUAAUAAAAUAUCUUCCCAGAAGCCAAUAGGUAAAAAUCACAUCAGCUAUAAUUCCCGAUUCUUGUAUGGCUUUGUGUUUAAUAGGCAGAGACAUGAUGAGAGGCUAAAGCGUGGAGGUGAGCAAAAAUCUGUGGUUAUUCUUUCGUACAGUCCAUACACGAGUGUGUUUAGACCUUUAUUACAAAUUAUGGGGCCAUUGUACUUUGACAUUGGAAGCAAAGCACUUAAUUACAUUGCUGCUUAUGUAUCAAAGUGGCCUACACCUGUGCCUGGUCAACAAAUGGAACUUCCGAUUGGGAAUGCAUCACUAAAAGUGAAUCUGCCACCCUCUCAUUGUUUGCCAUCAAAUAGUGGACUUUUCGAAGACUCUGCUUCCUCACUUGCUCCUCUUCUCCCCUCGAAUCUUUCAGUUCCUCAGGGCCUAUUUCACGACUCAGAUCUUUUUGGUACAUUUCGUGGACUCUUAUUGCAACUUUGGAAGCUGUGGGAACUUCUGCUUUCGGGGGAACCAAUCUUAAUAAUAGCACCAACACCUCCCCAAUGUUCUGAAGCUGUUUCUGGUUUAGUUAGUUUGGUUGCCCCACUUCUUUUGAGUGUUGAUUUCAGACCUUACUUUACUAUUCACGACCCAGAAUUUGCCAGUUUGAACUCUCUUUCUCAGGGUUCCUCUUUCCCUCCAAUGAUUCUUGGUGUGACAAACCUUUUCUUCUUAAAGGCACUUCGUAAUAUGCCUCACAUAAUUUCAGUUGGAAGUCCCGCUUCAAAUUCUAGUCGCCAUCCUUUUGGUUCUAAGACUGCUGCAGGAACUCCCCCUGGUCAAAAUGUUACUUUGAAGAGGUUUACUCCUGCAAACUUCUUGAAUGCUGUGAAGUUGAAGAGAGAUGGUCCUCUGUGUCUAAUGACAGAGCAUAAAGAAGCUGUGUGGACGAAUUAUGCUGGAGUGACAAAGCCGGACACAUCUAUCCUGAAUAGGCUUAUUGAUGCUGGAAUGUCUCCCAGGGUUGAGGAGUCGAUGUCGGUUGUCAACAAUGAUAUACUACGUCGUCAUUUUUUGGAGUUGACGACUAACUUCUUGGCUCCUUUUGGUCCAUAUUUUAGACCAAAUACACCUUCUGAAACAUCAUCUCCAUUUUCCGAUCCCCCUCCUCUACCCACAUUCAAUGCUGAGGAGUUCCUAGAGAGUUUAUCUGCAAGAGGUCCUGGAAAGUUUUUGUUGAAGCGGAUGAAGUCAAAUUGGCUGGAUCUCUACAGACAGUUUCUGAAAGGAUAUAACUUUCUCCCGUGGUUCCGAAGAAAACGUGCUGUUGCUGAGCAAGAACAAUAUAAAUUGUGGAGGCAAGCUAGACUGAAGACCAAUAUACACCAGUUGAUAAGUAAAAUGUCAGAAUUGGAAACUGUUGAUUCCUUCAAUGCAAUUGAGAGGCACCUUUACGGAGAAAUGCAGUAUGGUAGAGCAAAUGAAGAUUCAGAAGCAGUCUGUAACAAGUUGAAGAAAGAUCUGCAAAUAGUGUUCAAUAUGCUGCCAAAAGACAUGCAGCAGCUUCUGCUUAUGAACCCAGAUAGGGCAUCUCUUCUGCAAGAAACCCUAGAGUACUCUGGGCUUCCCGAACAUGCUCAUCCUUCAGACAGUGUUUUGUUCUCCGCAUCAUCUAGAUAACACGCAAUCUGUAGUGCUAAGUUUCUAAACACUUCAUCUGUGUUUGAGGCAGUCUUCACGCAGCACGCUGGAAGUCGAAAUGACAAAUCUUAUACGUCACUCUGUUACUGGUAUUGCACAAAUUAUUGAUGCUCCUUUAGAUGAGACUGAGGCAAAAACCUCAAGAAAAACAGUUCAAGACCACAAAAUUCUGAAAAAGAGCUGGUUUUAACAGGUUAGACGAUGAUAGAAAGAACUUUGUGAAUUCAGAUGUCUGAUUAUUCUCACUAGUCUUGAUCAGAUGGUGUUUUAUGAAUUCUUGUUUUACUCAGUCUCCGGUUGUGAUCCUAAUGUACCUUUGAGAUUUGAGAUCUAAUUUACUCCUGGAGUAGGGUUUAUUUAGGUUAUGGACAUGUAAAUAAGAGUUUUUUAAUAUAACUUCAAAUUCAAAGAGA